UACGUAGGGUGCAAGCGUUAAUCGGAAUUACUGGGCGUAAAGCGUGCGCAGGCGGUUGUGCAAGACCGAUGUGAAAUCCCCGGGCUUAACCUGGGAAAUUGCAUCGGAAACUGAUCGGCUGGAAGGUGGGAGAGGGUAGCGGAAUUCCCGGUGUAGUGGUGAAAUGCGUAGAUAUCAGGAGGAACACCGGUGGCGAAGGCGGGUCUCUGGGCCGAAAUUGACGCUGAGGAGCGAAAGCGUGGGGAGCAAACAGG
rnacentral:rRNA from 1 species